AUGAUAUCGGAUUACAUGAUGUUCCUCGACAUCGGAAAACAUGACAUGCUACCAGGCCGUAAGUUCCACAGCGUGAUCAAAACAGCCUGCCGUAUUAUUGGGAUGGCGGUCAAGCCGCAAUAUAGGGCCAGCAGUUCUAAAACAAAAGGGGAUGAGCUUGCCAAGUGGAUGCUGACGAACAAGGAUAAUCUCAAGACGCUAGGUGCUACUGGUGAAGGAACUGGAGGAAUAAAUAAGGGUCAUCUCGAGGACAGAGCUCGUAUUUGUCUCUCAGAAGGAACUCAAAUUGCCCAUGAGCUGCAUCAUCGGAGGACAGCUACCGAAGAAGGUGGACUUGUUGCCAUUAGAAGACACGCACACUGGAUUCCAAAUAUGCUGCAUCCUCCUGGUCCUGGCUCUGGGCAUAUUGAAAGAACGUUGGAGUUCAUCUUGGAUGUGUGGGUGAACAUGCUCGUCGAUGCGUCCCUCCGGUGCAGCAGGGAGUCCCAUGCCAAACAACUAAGCCGUGGUGGUGAGCUAAUAACAAUCAUAUGGGUCGCUACACAACACGCAGAUGCUGAUUGUAUCAAAUCGAGGUUCUGUGCGUCUUUCUUUUGA
rnacentral:rRNA from 1 species